GACAAAGGAGCCAAGCGUUGUCCGGAUUGACUGGGCGUAAAGCGCACGCAGGCGGACGCGCGCGUGGGGUGUGAAAUCUGGCCGCUUAACGGCCAGGCGCCAUCCCAUACGGCGCGUCUGGAGUGAUGCAGAGGUCGAUGGAAUUGCCGGUGUAGUGGUGAAAUGCGUAGAGAUCGGCAGGAACACCCAGGGGGAAACCAGUCGACUGGGCAUCUACUGACGCUGAUGUGCGAGAGCGUGGGGAGCGAACCGG
rnacentral:rRNA from 1 species